UAGGGAAUCUUCCGCAAUGGGCGAAAGCCUGACGGAGCAACGCCGCGUGAGUGAUGAAGGUCUUCGGACCGUAAAACUCUGUUAUUAGGGAAGAACAUAUGUGUAAGUAACUGUGCACAUCUUGACGGUACCUAAUCAGAAAGCCACGGCUAACUACGUGCCAGCAGCCGCGGUAAUACGUAGGUGGCAAGCGUUAUCCGGAAUUAUUGGGCGUAAAGCGAGCGCAGGCGGUUAGAUAAGUCUGAAGUUAAAGGCUGUGGCUUAACCAUAGUACGCUUUGGAAACUGUUUAACUUGAGUGCAAGAGGGGAGAGUGGAAUUCCAUGUGUAGCGGUGAAAUGCGUAGAUAUAUGGAGGAACACCGGUGGCGAAAGCGGCUCUCUGGCUUGUAACUGACGCUGAGGCUCGAAAGCGUGGGGAGCAAACAGGAUUAGAUACCCUGGUAGUCCACGCCGUAAACGAUGAGUGCUAGGUGUUAGACCCUUUCCGGGGUUUAGUGCCGUAGCUAACGCAUUAAGCACUCCGCCUGGGGAGUACGACCGCAAGGUUG
rnacentral:rRNA from 1 species